UUCUCAUCAAGAGAGGUGGAGGGACUGGCCCGAUGAAACCCGGCAACCACAUGGAAGGUGCCAAUUCCUGCAGGAAACUUGUUCCUGACAGAUGAGGU
rfam:Desulfotomaculum aeronauticum DSM 10349 genome assembly, contig: EJ44DRAFT_scaffold00020.20